UUUAGAUUGCAUAUUUUGCAGGGGUUGGGUAUGAUGGCUACAGCUAAGAGGAAAGUGUCCAAAGCUGGGUCAGUCUCAAGCACUGAGGAGAACUCUCCCAGGAUGCAAAGGCGUAUCUCCAUGGAAAUGUACGAUAAGCCUAACCUACGCAGAUUCUCGGUCACCCAUUAAAGAGUAAAGACGACUUUCGAAAAUAAGUCUUUGAAAAAUUCGAUUUUUAAAAAACGAUCUAAAUGAGAUUUUUGAUGCAGUAAUUAAUUUUGAAACUGUUUUUUUAUUGCUUAAUAUUUAAGCCUACCAGUUCUAAAAUAUUUUAACAUUUUGUUUGUUAUGCAUUUUUGUAACUUGUGGUUUUUAGAAGUAUUCAUGUUAUUUCAGUUUGUAAUUUACAGCUAAACUUUGGCGUAAAAUCGACUUAAAAAUACCUCAAAUUGUAUUAUUAUCAUUGUUGCUAAAUAAAUUUUUCCAAGUUCA